rnacentral:rRNA from 1 species
GACGAACGCUGGCGGCGUGCUUAACACAUGCAAGUCGAACGGAAAGGCCUGCUUUCCCUUGUGGAUUGCGGGUACUCGAGUGGCGAACGGGUGAGUAACACGUGAGUGAUCUGCCCCCAACUUGGGUAUAAGCCUGGGAAACUGGGUCUAAUUCCCGAUAGGACUGCAGGGUGGUGCCUGUGGUGGAAAACGAUUUUCUAGUGGUUGGGGAUGAGCUCGCGGCCUAUCAGCUUGUUGGUGGGGUAAUGGCCUACCAAGGCGGCGACGGGUAGCCGGCCUGGGAGGGUCGACGGCCACAUUGGGACUGAGAUACGGCCCAGACUCCUCCGGGAGGCAGCAGUGGGGAAUCUUGCACGAUGGGCGGAAGCCUGAUGCAGCGACGCCGCGUGGGGGAUGCCGGCCUUCGGGUUGUAAACUCCUUUCGACCGCGAGGAAGCCACCUGGUUGGAAGGGUGGUGACGGUAGUGGUAGAAGAAGCACCGGCUAACUACGUG